rnacentral:rRNA from 1 species
GACGAACGCUGGCGGCGUGCUUAACACAUGCAAGUCGAGCGGAUCGGCGAACGGGUGAGUAACGCGUGAGUAACUGCCCCCCUCUCUGGGAUAACAGUUGGGAACGGCUGCUAAUACCGGCUAGUGGGGGAUGACUCGCGUCCUAUCAGCUUGUGGGUGGGGUAGUGGCUUACCAAGGCGACGCGGGGUAGCCGGCCUGAGCGGGCGACCGGCCACAUUGGGCUGAGAUACGGCCCAAACGCCUACGGGAGGCAGCAGUGGGGAAUAUUGCCGAAGGGGGGAAACCCUGAGGCAGCAGCGCCGGGUUCGGGAUGACGGCCUUCGGGUUGUAAACCGCUUUCAGCCAUGACGCGGUAGUGGCAGAAGAAGCAACGGCUAACUACGUGCCAGCAGCCGCGGUAAUAC